rnacentral:lncRNA from 1 species
ACCCCCUCCCCUGCUUCUUCCAGGCGCCCCCGGCAGAGCGUCCAGCCCCCCUGCGAGCCCAGGAAGAAGCCGCCGAAGCUGAGGGGCAGCGGCAAAGCGAGAAGUUGCUGGAACAGGCGGCAGCCGAGAGGCGGAAGAUCGUCUGGGAGUGGCGGGAGCUGCGAGGGUUUCUGGAGAAGCAGGAGCAGCGGCUGCUGUCCCGGCUGGAGGAGCUCGAGAGAGCCAUUGUCCAGAGACGGGAUGAGGGCGUCUGCAGCCUGUCCCGGGAGAUUUCCCUGCUCCGCGACAGGGGAGGAGACGAGGGGCAGCGGCUGCUGUGCCAACCCCAGCAGGGUGCCGGGCGCUGUGGGGGCAGUGCCAUGCUGCAGGAGGUGCUGCUGAGAUUCAAAGGUGAGUUGGAGUCUGGGGGUGGCUCUGUCCGCAGCGGCUGAUCUCUGUCACCAUCUCGUAGUUAACA